rnacentral:rRNA from 1 species
GAUGAACGCUAGCUACAGGCUUAACACAUGCAAGUCGAGGGGCAGCGCAGUGUAGCAAUACACGGGCGGCGACCGGCGCACGGGUGCGUAACGCGUAUCCAACCUUCCCGUUACUCAGGGAUAGCCUUCCGAAAGGGAGAUUAAUACCUGAUGGUGUUCAAAUUCCGCAUGUUAUUUGAACUAAAGAUUUAUCGGUAACGGAUGGGGAUGCGUGACAUUAGGUAGAUGGCGGGGUAACGGCCCACCAUGCCCACGAUGUCUAGGGGUUCUGAGAGGAAGGUCCCCCACACUGGAACUGAGACACGGUCCAGACUCCUACGGGAGGCAGCAGUGAGGAAUAUUGGUCAAUGGCCGGAAGCUGAACCAGCCAAGUAGCGUGAAGGAUGAAGGUUCUAUGGAUUGGUAAACUUCUUUUAUUAGGGGACAUAGUGACGGUACCUAAUGAAUAAGCCACGGCUAACUACGUGCCAGCAGCC